rnacentral:rRNA from 1 species
CACGUAGGGGGCAAGCGUUGUCCGGAUUUAUUGGGCGUAAAGAGCUCGUAGGCGGCUUAGUAAGUUGGGUGUGAAACCUCCAGGCUCAACCUGGAGACGCCACCCGAUACUGCUGUGGCUAGAGUCCGGUAGGGGAGCGUGGAAUUCCUGGUGUAGCGGUGAAAUGCGCAGAUAUCAGGAGGAACACCAGCGGCGAAGGCGGCGCUCUGGGCCGGUACUGACGCUGAGGAGCGAAAGCGUGGGGAGCAAACAGG